GAAAAUGAAGGACUAGGGAAGCAUAUGGCCACUGCCACGGUCACACAGGUAACUGUGGUAGAGUAUGGUCUUGGUACUUGUUCCCAUGGGAGCUGCCUUCAGCUGACUGCCAGAACACUGGGUAAAAACAUGGAGUUUUUAGCUUAUCACUUUGGAUAUUUUUCUGAUAGUGAGUGGUUUUGCUUUUUUACAUGAACACAUUGGAGGCCCAUCAGCACUCAGAAUAACGAGUGUCUGUCUUCCGAUUUCCUGUUCCGGGGCUUCACAGUCAUUCAUUUUCUCUACUCCAGCUCCUUGGGGGUAGAUGCUAGUCUACCCUGAGAAAGUUGAGGACCCAGGAGGCUAACGAAAGACCCUGCCAUCAUCCCAACAGGCCCUGGUUGAUACUGAGAUCUUGGCAUCUUCAGACAGCUUAGCUGCACCCUGAGGCAGGAUGCUUAGUUCAUGCAAAGAACUGACUUCCUGAAGAAGUUCUGAGUGUGGAAAUGGAAGGACCAGAGGGAGAUGAUGAACAGCCGCUUCAAUUCAGGUUUCUACCAGGACAUGAUGAAAUUCCAAGCAUGUUCUCACCUCAGUCCCUGGUUUCAAGGUGUAUUAGUUUGAAGAAUUCUCACUGUCUGAGGAAAUGAUAUUGCCAGAGAGGUAGAGGCCCCUGACUCACUGUAGAACAGAAACCUGAACUUUCCAAGUUAAAGUCCAACCCAUUGUCCAGACGAGACACUGGAGAGAUACACAGUACAUGUGAUUGGGAUCGAAACCGUCCUUAAGAAACAAGUCAGCAAGACUUCCACAAAUCAAUGCCCAGAGACAGAAAGCUCACUAGACAAAACAGGGGAGAGAAUCCCACACCCUCAGAAUAAACAAAAUGAAAAGCUGUUCGGGUCCCACAGGGAAGUAACAACCCAAACAGCAUGACUGGCGAAAGUUGAAUUAAAUACCAUUGCCUACUGGGAGCAAGAGUGUGUGACUAAGGAGACAUUGGCAUACUGGUGUGAGUGUGGACUUGUUCGGCCAUUAUGGGACCAUGUUGGUAACAGCAUGUGCAUACCCACUCAGAAUCUGACCACCUCUGCACAGAUAUCCAAGAAACUCCCGUGUGGUGCCUGGUCAGCCCCGUGAGCAUCUGCCCUAUCGAGGAGCUGUGCCCUCAGAAGGGCUCUGUGCUUGACUAAACAUUAUCCUCCUUUCUCUGCCUUGAAGUUCACAAUAAUUGUAUUUUUUAACUAGACAGGGCUGUAGAGCACAUUUGAGAGGUCCACCACAGAUUGCUGUCCAGGACGCAUUCAGCAUGCAGGACACUCUGUGAGAAUUCCCAUGGAAAUACAAGAAAAGUUCAAUCUUCCAAUGAGCAGCUGGGUAGUCGGCCCCACUGAGAAGCCACAAUUUCCAUUUGAAAUAGAACAUGAGUCAAGUACAGAUGAGAGAGAGAGGGAAAGAGAGAGAGAGAGAGAGAGAGAGAGAGAGAACCCCUGGACAACUCAGAAGUUGUGUUGUGGCCUUUCUGCUUCUGCUGCAUGCCUGCACUCAUCAGCAAGGAAGCUGAAGAGGAUGGCUGAGAAGGUAAAGGACACACAGACAAGCCUGACUCAUUGCGUUUUCAGUUUUUGCUCUCCUUGGUGAGCAAGGUGGAGACACACUGGCCAUGAAGAGGUUUCCACUUCCCCACUGUGUGGCGGGCAUUCACGGAAGCUAUGAGGGGCAGGGCAGUCUCAGGGAUUCUGUGCAGCAGUUAAAUCCGCGUCUGUCUGUAUUUAAAAUAGAUACUGCACAGGGUCAAGGCGAAAGUCCCAACAAUUUCAUCUUUAACUUUUCUUAGAGCAGUAUUAGGAAACAUAAAACACUAUGGCCAGUCAAGAGAGGGACACCUUAAAGUCCAGUCCCUUCCAUGGCGCCUUUCUUCUGGUGGCAUCGAGGUGAUACUCCCCAAGCUUCACGUCCUACCGGGCCUGCAAAGCCCAUCGUCAGCCCUGUGUGGCUCAAGGAAACAUGGACAAGAUUGCUUGUGUGAGCACAACUGUAAAAAGUGAAAUAAUCGGAUAUCCAGGGAUGGGGGAACAGAUGGACUGUGACGCAGCUCAUGAAGGCUGUGGUUGCACAUCAGUAUCAAACAGGAGAAAAAGAUGAAUAACGUCUGUGAGCAGAGAUCAAAAAGGACAUUGAGAAGUAAUUCAAGCAAGAGAACUUUCUAUGAGAUGCUGGUUCCAACCCUGGGAGUUGGCUGCUACUUGAGACCUGACUCUCUUGGGGAUGACACGUUGUAGUAGUCCUGGAAGGUGACCUUUUCAUGAUCCACCUAAUACUCACCUGUCUGCUGCCUCCAUUUCUAGCCUCCUUCCUGCCCUCUCCUGUGAGCAAAGCAUACACAGAUUGCACUCAAGGACAUGGAGACUUGACAGACUAUGUGGUCUACCAUCCGGAAGUCAUACACACAGUUACAGAGAUCCAACAUGGGGAAUCAAUUCUACAGGGAUGCAAAAGCACACUGCCUGGGCAGACAAGAUGCUGGACACCGGACUCUCCUCAAAGACAACUGUACCAAAUUUGCUGAUACCACUGGUCACACUGGGCACUCACCCCAGCUUGAGAGAAGCCCUGUAGCUAAGAUUGGAGUAGCUCUGGCCCAGCAGCACAGGGACUGCCCCCGUCACACACACAGAGACCACUGUUUUCACCAAGCCACAUAGUGAGAGUUACUCAAUGCUGUUUACGCUUCAUGCUGUUUGAUGUUUCACCUAGCAGCUAGAUAUACUUUUAUUUAAUAAUGACUAAAAUAUUUGGCUUCUUUUCCAUCUCUUCAGAGUUAUAGGUAACACUCAAACACUAUUGCACAUGGCUCUCUUUCAUAGAGAGGGGUACCUGAUGUAUUCCUUUAUUUGAAGGACUGGUCCAAGUGAGAGGACUCUGGUGGAUGUUUGUGCAUGGCCCUUCCUUGCUCAACUGUUCUCCACAUCAGUUCUCACUAAUAUUCUCAACAAUGCAAAGCCUGGGCGGGUUUUAGAGUCCUUCACAUUUUGUUUUCAACGUUUUUUUAAAGGGAGUAUCCCGAUUGAUAUUCCAAUAAAUGCUGUUAUCUUUAAUUUGUUUAGUCUAAUGUUACGUAAUUUUAAGAACUUUGUUGGUGUUUUCCUUCGACUUUCCGAUUCUAGGCCUGGGCUUAAGCAUCACCUGAGCCAAGCAGCCCUGUCAAAGUGUGAUGUGAUGUUUCUGGUUUUCCCU